GCAGCAGUGGGGAAUUUUGGACAAUGGGCGCAAGCCUGAUCCAGCAAUGCCGCGUGAGUGAAGAAGGCCUUCGGGUUGUAAAGCUCUUUUGUCAGGGAAGAAACGGUGAGGGCUAAUAUCCCUUGCUAAUGACGGUACCUGAAGAAUAAGCACCGGCUAACUACGUGCCAGCAGCCGCGGUAAUACGUAGGGUGCAAGCGUUAAUCGGAAUUACUGGGCGUAAAGCGUGCGCAGGCGGUUUUGUAAGUCUGUCGUGAAAGCCCCGGGCUCAACCUGGGAAUUGCGAUGGAGACUGCAAGGCUUGAAUCUGGCAGAGGGGGGCAGAAUUCCACGUGUAGCAGUGAAAUGCGUAGAGAUGUGGAGGAACACCGAUGGCGAAGGCAGCCCCCUGGGUCAAGAUUGACGCUCAUGCACGAAAGCGUGGGGAGCAAACAGGAUUAGAUACCCUGGUAGUCCACGCCCUAAACGAUGUCUACUAGUUGUCGGGUUUUAAUUAACUUGGUAACGCAGCUAACGCGUGAAGUAGACCGCCUGGGGAGUACGGUCGCAAGAUUAAAACUCAAAGGAAUUGACGGGGACCCGCACAAGCGGUGGAUGAUGUGGAUUAAUUCGAUGCAACGCGAAAAACCUUACCUACCCUUGACAUGUACGGAAGCCACGAGAGAUCGAGGCGUGCUCGAAAGAGAGCCGUAACACAGGUGCUGCAUGGCUGUCGUCAGCUCGUGUCGUGAGAUGUUGGGUUAAGUCCCGCAACGAGCGCAACCCUUGUCAUUAGUUGCUACGAAAGAGCACUCUAAUGAGACUGCCGGUGACAAACCGGAGGAAGGUGGGGAUGACGUCAAGUCCUCAUGGCCCUUAUGGGUAGGGCUUCACACGUCAUACAAUGGUACAUACAGAGGGCCGCCAACCCGCGAGGGGGAGCUAAUCCCAGAAAGUGUAUCGUAGUCCGGAUUGUAGUCUGCAACUCGACUACAUGAAGUUGG
rnacentral:rRNA from 1 species